rnacentral:lncRNA from 1 species
CUGUCGCGUAGUAAGUUACCAUCGGAUCUUCACCGUCGGUAAGUUGCCAUCCAUUUUCAACGGUCGAUAAGUAAUCACGGUAGGUUACCAUUAGAUCUUCUCGAUUGGUAAGUCAUUCUAUCAUCGAGUACGCAUAGAAAAACAUUUCGCGACUGCCAUAUAAGGUAAAUAGGAGGGGUGGGGUGACUCGAGCUACGUCAUACCUCUUUCAGCUGUCGGACGCCGUCGAGACAAGUCUCAACUAGUUUCGCUCCACGUACAUGCAAUCAUUAUCGAUGACGUGAAUGCAUUGAAAUUAGAAGACGUUCACCAUCGUUCCAUGGAAAUUAUACUAAUCAAUGGUGGUAUAUACAACUGCAUACAUACGUGCAAGUGUAUUUCUUUCUUUCUUUCUUUCUUUUCUUUAAUUUUAUAAAUGCAUCAAUUUCCAAAUGGAUCGUUCGAUGCAUUAGAAAAUUUUAAC